GUCGUCGCCUUUGUUUUCUUCCGCUUGGGAGGAGCCCCACCACCACAGUGAUGUUAGAUGGCCCUAAAAGAAAUGUUUUAUCCAGUGCCUGCUCUGCUUCACAUCUAUCCCCAGACCUUAGGACUGUGUGAGCCGUUUGCAUUUCCUGAAACCGGAUCUCGGUGUCAGAGCCGCCCCCGGGCCGGGCGGGCACCUCAGCCAUGGCCCUGCGCAAGGAGCUGCUCAAGUCCAUCUGGUACGCGUUCACCGCCCUGGACGUGGAGAAGAGCGGCAAGGUCUCCAAGUCCCAGCUCAAGAUCAUGUCAUCUAGUGGGGGCUUCAGGAUAGACAGGAGAACAGCAGAUCAUCCAAAAUCCAGCCCUGCAGAAACCCGUGCCCUACAUCCACCUCCCACUGCCUUUCGUAUCUUGUAGGAACAAUCCCAACCUCCAUAGUUUAUCUCCAAGGUACCGUUUUCUGUCUCCAUUACCUGCAGCCCCUGUAACCUCUCCAGGCUCUCUAUGCCCA